rnacentral:misc_RNA from 1 species
UCUCCGUUGGUGAACCAGCGGAGGGAUCAUUACAGAGUUCCACAACUCCCAACCCCUGCGAACCGUACCCCAGUUUGUUCUCGUUGCCUCCUGGCGGCGGGCCCCCGGCGCCACCGCCGGGGCCCCCGCCAGCGGCGGCAAGCCCCCUGAACCUUUUUUUCUCAACCAGCCCUUCUGAGCAAACAAACAAAUGAAUCAAAACUUUCAACAACGGAUCUCUUGGUUCUG